AACAAUGCAUGUCAGAAUGGGGGUGCCUGUGUAAGUGUUCCCAAUUCCUGUACUCCUUAUACCUGUACCUGUCCAUCAUGUUAUACUGGACCUUUCUGUGAAAGUCUUGUGAAUCCUUGCAACAACAAUGCUUGUCAGAAUGGAGGUGCUUGUUUCCAGGUUUCUGGUUCCUGUACAGCAUACACAUGUACCUGUCCAUCAUGCUACACUGGACAAUUCUGUGAAACUUUGCUAAAUGCUUGCAGCAGCAAUGCCUGCCAGAAUGGAGCGGCAUGUGUAGCGGUG